rnacentral:rRNA from 1 species
CCAUCAUUUAGUUGGGCACUCUAAGGUGACUGCCGGUGACAAACCGGAGGAAGGUGGGGAUGACGUCAAAUCAUCAUGCCCCUUAUGACCUGGGCUACACACGUGCUACAAUGGACGGUACAAAGAGCUGCAAGACCGCGAGGUGGAGCUAAUCUCAUAAAACCGUUCUCAGUUCGGAUUGUAGGCUGCAACUCGCCUACAUGAAGCUGGAAUCGCUAGUAAUCGCGGAUCAGCAUGCCGCGGUGAAUACGUUCCCGGGCCUUGUACACACCGCCCGUCACACCACGAGAGUUUGUAACACCCGAAGUCGGUGGGGUAACCUUUU